GUGAGGAAUAUUGGUCAAUGGGCGAGAGCCUGAACCAGCCAAGUAGCGUGAGGGAUGACUGCCCUAUGGGUUGUAAACCUCUUUUGCAGGGGGGUAAAGUGGUUCACGUGUGGACCAUUGCAAGUACCCUGCGAAUAAGGAUCGGCUAACUCCGUGCCAGCAGCCGCGGUAAUACGGAGGAUCCGAGCGUUAUCCGGAUUUAUUGGGUUUAAAGGGAGCGUAGGCGGGGGUUUAAGUCAGCUGUGAAAUGCCGUGGCCCAACCAUGGAACUGCAGUUGAAACUGGACCUCUUGAGAGUACAUAAGGAAGGCGGAAUUCGUGGUGUAGCGGUGAAAUGCAUAGAUAUCACGAAGAACUCCGAUUGCGAAGGCAGCUUUCCGGGGUACAUCUGACGCUGAAGCUCGAAAGUGCGGGAAUCAAACAGGAUUAGAAACCCCGGUAGUCC
rnacentral:rRNA from 1 species